CCUACGGGAGGCAGCAGUGGGGAAUAUUGGACAAUGGGGGCAACCCUGAUCCAGCAAUACCGUGUGUGUGAAGAAGGCCUUCGGGUUGUAAAGCACUUUUAGUGGGAAAGAAAAGCUCAUGAUUAAUACUUAUGAGCCUUGACGUUACCCACAGAAAAAGCACUGGCUAACUCUGUGCCAGCAGCCGCGGUAAUACAGAGAGUGCGAGCGUUAAUCGGAAUUACUGGGCGUAAAGCGCACGUAGGUGGAUUCUUAAGUCGGAUGUGAAAUCCCUGGGCUUAACCUAGGAAUUGCAUUCGAUACUGGGUAUCUUGAAUAUGGUAGAGGGAAGUGGAAUUUCCGGUGUAGCGGUGAAAUGCGUAGAUAUCGGAAGGAACAUCAGUGGCGAAAGCGGCUUCCUGGACCAAUAUUGACACUUAGGUGCGAAAGCGUGGGGAGCAAACAGGAUUAGAUACCCUGGUAGUCCCGACGCCGUCACGAUAGAUAACUAGUAUAGUUGGGUAGGUCGUUGUCUCCUUACGUUAGUACGUAAGACGUAACGUACGUUAACGUUAGUUACCGUCCGUCGGGUAGGUACGGCCGGCGAACGUUAAACGUAACGUAAGUAAGUAGUAGACGNGAGAGAGCGACGACGACGACGAGGAGGAGGAGG
rnacentral:rRNA from 1 species